rnacentral:rRNA from 1 species
GACGAACGCUGGCGGCGUGCCUAAUACAUGCAAGUUGAGCGAUGAAGAUUGGUGCUUGCACCAAUUUGAAGAGCAGCGAACGGGUGAGUAACGCGUGGGGAAUCUGCCUUUGAGCGGGGGACAACAUUUGGAAACGAAUGCUAGUACCGCAUAACAACUUUAAACAUAAGUUUUAAGUUUGAAAGAUGCAAUUGCAUCACUCAAAGAUGAUCCCGCGUUGUAUUAGCUAGUUGGUGAGGUAAAGGCUCACCAAGGCGAUGAUACAUAGCCGACCUGAGAGGGUGAUCGGCCACAUUGGGACUGAGACACGGCCCAAACUCCUACGGGAGGCAGCAGUAGGGAAUCUUCGGCAAUGGACGAAAGUCUGACCGAGCAACGCCGCGUGAGUGAAGAGGGGUUUCGGAUCGUAAAACUCUGUUGGUAGAGAAGAACGUUGGUGAGAGUGGAAAGCUCAUCAAGUGACGGUAACUACCCAGAAAGGGACGGCUAACUACGUG